AUUGAACGCUGGCGGCAUGCUUUACACAUGCGAGUCGAACGGCAGCGCGGGCUUCGGCCUGGCGGCGAGUGGCGAACGGGUGAGUAAUACAUCGGAAAGUGCCCAGUAGUGGGGGAUAGCUCGGCGAAAGCCGGAUUAAUACCGCAUACGACCUGAGGGUGAAAGCGGGGGAUCUUCGGACCUCGCGCUAUUGGAGCGGCCGAUGGCAGAUUAGCUAGUUGGUGGGGUAAAGGCCUACCAAGGCGACGAUCUGUAGCUGGUCUGAGAGGACGACCAGCCACACUGGGACUGAGACACGGCCCAGACUCCUACGGGAGGCAGCAGUGGGGAAUUUUGGACAAUGGGCGAAAGCCUGAUCCAGCAAUGCCGCGUGUGUGAUGAAGGCCUUCGGGUUGUAAAGCACUUUUGGCGGGAACGAAAAGGACUGUGCCAAUACCACGGUUCGAUGACGGUACCCGCAGAAUAAGCACCGGCUAACUACGU
rnacentral:rRNA from 1 species